AGCGAACGCUGGCGGCAGGCUUAACACAUGCAAGUCGAGCGGGCGUAGCAAUACGUCAGCGGCAGACCGGUGAGUAACGCGUGGGAACGUACCUUUUGGUUCGGAACAACACAGGGAAACUUGUUCUAAUACCGGAUAAGCCCUUACGGGGAAAGGUUUAUCGCCGAAAGAUCGGCCCGCGUCUGAUGAGCCAGUUGGUAGGGUAAUGGCCUACCCAGGCGACGAUCAGUAGCUGGUCUGAGAGGAUGAGCAGCCUGCUUGGAGAUGGGACACGGACCAGACUCCUACGGGGGGCAGCAGGGAGGAGUAAGGGACAAUGCGGGUAACUCUGCUCCAGCCCGGCCACGUGAGUGAUGAUGGACCUGGAGUUGUAAAGCUCUUUUGUGCGCGCAGCUUAUGUCUGUUAAGCAAGAAUACAGCGCGGAUAACUUCGUGCCAGCCGCCUCAGUAA
rnacentral:rRNA from 1 species